GUAGGGAACCUGCGGAAGGAUCAUUACUGAAAUGUAAUAACUUCUAUUGAAAGGUUCCAGAGUAGGCGCUACAACGCCGAAAUGACCUUCUCACCCUUGUGUACUCACUAUGUUGCUUUGGCGGGUCGACCUGGUUCCGACCCAGGCGGCCGGCGCCCCCAGCCUUAACUGGCCAGGACGCCCGGCUAAGUGCCCGCCAGUAUACAAAACUCAAGAAUUCAUUUUGUGAAGUCCUGAUAUAUCAUUUAAUUGAUUAAAACUUUCAACAACGGAUCUCUUGGUUCUGGCAUCGAUGAAGAACGCAGCGAAAUGCGAUAAGUAAUGUGAAUUGCAGAAUUCAGUGAAUCAUCGAAUCUUUGAACGCACAUUGCGCCCUCUGGUAUUCCGGAGGGCAUGCCUGUUCGAGCGUCAUUUCAACCCUCAAGCUCUGCUUGGUAUUGGGCAACGUCCGCUGCCGGACGUGCCUUGAAGACCUCGGCGACGGCAGUCCUAGCCUCGAGCGUAGUAGUAAAAUAUCUCGCUUUGGAGUGCUGGGCGACGGCCGCCGGACAAUCGACCUUCGGUCUAUUAUCCAAAGGUUUGACCCGGAUCAAGUAAGGAUACCCGAUUGACAUUAAACAUAAUAAUAAAGCGAAUAACAAAAUACAACUGUGAAUCGACUC
rnacentral:rRNA from 1 species